AGCACUUGUAUGUGUUUUUAACUGGAGACAAAGGCAUGAAAGACAGUUACAAAAAUAAAUCCUCUUUUGUAAUCCACAGCUCACCGUUCAGUAUGAGUUUUGAUGAAUAGAAGAAGAAUAUG
rnacentral:snoRNA from 1 species